AAGGCACGUCUACAAGAUAAUGUGGUGUAAAACAGAUGGUAAACGUAAUUUCCGGACACAGAUGCGACUUGCAAGGGUCAAAAUCUUUAUAUUAUGAUCUCUAUGUGCAUGCGAAUAUCUUCAGCCGACUUGUAAAAUGUCCAAACAGCUCCAACUGCUACCUAAGAUGAUAACACGGACGAUAAAGGAAUGAAGGGUAUGUCUGCUUCACUACGAUUGACAAAACUUGCACAUCUACUUUCAAGCUGGUGAAAGCACGACUUCAAGAUGUAAACUAAAAAAGAAGAUGGUAAUUUCCGGCCACAAGUGUCAAAAUCUUAAAAUUAGGGUCGAAGAGAAAUAUACGUCUCCUUGCGGUAACAGAAUACAGCACGGCAUUUUGCUUCAUAUACGUGUUAUCAAAA